AGGGUUGUAGCUCUGUGGUAGAGCAUCUGCUUUGCAUGCAGAAGGUCCCACGUUCAACCUCUGGCAUCUCCA